ACAAUGAAACAAUAUGCAUAUGAAAAUGAUUUGGUUCUUUUUCUGCUUAAGUCAUACCUGAUCUGCAGGACUAGGUAUUUUGAGUCAAUAUGCAUAUGUAGGGUAUUCUUAGUGUUUCAUGUCAGUAAAUAAGCUCCUGGUUCUCCACCUUUGGCAGUUGGUUCUGGGUUGGAUGCCUAUGGGUACUAUUUGGCAACAGCAGAUGGGCUUGUGAAGCGAGGUGAUGGAAGGGAUAUACCUUUUGUUUUGUCGAGAGCAGUAUUUGCUGGAAGUCAAAAGUAUGGAGCGGUAUGGACAGGAGAUAAUUUAGCUGAUUGGGAUCACCUUUGGGUUUCAGUUCCAAUAGUUUUGACACUUGGUCUUACUGGGAUCUCAUUGUCAGGUGCUGAUGGUGGGUUCUUUGACAAUCCAGAACGUGAGUUGUUAGUUCGUUAGUAUCAGUUUGGCAUGCUAUCCAUUUAGGCGAGAACCAUGGUUAUUUGGGUAGGAGUUGCUCCCUAUGAUGGUUUUGCACUUAGUUUUGCACACAUUUUAAACCUUUGGAUGGUUCACCAUCUGGAGAUUGAAGAUGCACUUGACAUUUGAGUAUUCAUUUCGUAUAGGACCUAGAAUCAAUGUUUUGUAUUGCCUAAGCAUUUUGAUGAUGCGGUGGAUAGAUAUAUUUAUUGGUAAAAUUUACUACCUAUGCCAAAUUGUUUACACGUUUUAACGUUUUAAUUGAAAUAUGAUUGUAGAUUGAAAUACUUAUACUUUAGACCAACACUUACAUACCAUUUAACUGUGAAGUUGGAACACUAUUCUAGUUUCUUUUUCUAGUACCUUUUUGAAGUGAAUUAUUCUUUGUAGUAUGAAAAGUGUAUGUUGUAGUAGAGUGGAUGGUUGUAAAUUUUUUGUUUAAGUGUUGCAGGUGAUAGCACUUAAUAGUUCACAAGCAGCCGAAGGUGAAUUCUAUGUCGACGAUGGUGGAAGGUUUGAAUUCAGGAAGGGGCCUGCAUCCAUGGUCGUUUUGUAUUCUCAGAUGGGAAGCUCACAUAUCUUAAUAUGGCACCCGCUGCGCCUGGCCAAACCCAGUUUUAUUCUGAAUGUGUUGUUGAGAGGAUUAUUUUGUUUAAUACACACACACACACACAUCGUGAAUAACAAAAUUCAAUGGAAGUGAAUCUUUCUCCAUAUAUAGUAUUCUUUGAA